GGAUAAGGGCCUAAGUGCCCUAAAGGCACCAGAUCCUGUAUGUUCUUGGAAACUAAGUAAAGUCAGUCCUGGUUAGUGCUUAGAUGAGAGACCACCAAUGAAUACAGGUGCUAUAUUUC
rnacentral:rRNA from 11 species